GAUUUUCGCAAUGCCCGAAAGGGUGACUAUGCGACGCCGCGUGAGCGAUGAAGGUCUUCGGAUUGUAAAGCUCUGUCGAGUGGGAUGAAUACCACGUCCAUAACAUGGACGUGGAAUGACAGUACCACUAUAGGAAGCCACGGCUAACUCCGUGCCAGCAGCCGCGGUAAUACGGAGGUGGCAAGCGUUGUUCGGAUUUAUUGGGUGUAAAGGGCAUGUAGGUGUCCUGGUAAGUUCUGGUUGAAAUCCUUCAGCUCAACUGAAGAACGUGUCAGAAAACUGCCAGGAUUGAGUACAGGAGAGGAGAACGGAAUUCCCGGUGUAAGGGUGAAAUCUGUAGAGAUCGGGAAGAACACCAGUGGCGAAAGCGGUUCUCUAGACUGUCACUGACACUGAAAUGCGAAAGCUAGGGGAGCAAACAGGAUUAGAUACCCUGGUAGUCCUAGCCGUAAACGAUGGGCACUAAGUAGAGGGGUUUUAAUC
rnacentral:rRNA from 1 species